rnacentral:rRNA from 1 species
AGUGAAUAGAUACCCGGGUAGUCCCAGCUGUAAACGAUGCAGACUCGGUGAUGAGUUGGCUACAUGCCAUCUCAGUGCCGCAGGGAAGCCGUUAAGUUUGCCGCCUGGGGAGUACGGUCGCAAGACUGAAACUUAAAGGAAUUGGCGGGGAGCACCACAAGGGGUGAAGCCUGCGGUUCAAUUGGAGUCAACGCCGGAAAUCUUACCGGGGGCGACAGCAGUGUGAAGGUCAAGCUGAAGACUUUACCAGACAAGCUGAGAGGAGGUGCAUGGCCGUCGCCAGCUCGUGCCGUGAGGUGUCCUGUUAAGUCAGGUAACGAGCGAGACCCCUGCCUCUAGUUGCUACUAUUAUUCUCAGGAGUAGUGGAGCUAAUUAGAGGGACUGCCGUCGCUGAGACGGAGGAAGGAGGGGGCUACGGCAGGUCAGUAUGCCCCGAAACCCUCGGGCCACACGCGGGCUGCAGUGGUAAGGACAAUGAGUUUCGAUUCCGAAAGGAGGAGGCAAUCUCUAAACCUUACCACAGUU